rnacentral:rRNA from 1 species
UGCAGGAAUAAGGGCUGGGCAAGACCGGUGCCAGCCGCCGCGGUAACACCGGCAGCCGUAGUGGUGACCGUUUUUAUUGGUCUUAAAGCUUUGGUAGCCGGGCCGGUAAUUCUUUGGGUAAAUCGUCAGUYUCAAGCGCGGGAAUUCUAAGGAUACUACCGGCCUUGAGGCCGGGAUAGGUGAGAGGUACUCCCGGGGUAGGGGUAAAAUCCUAUAAUCCUGGGGGGACCACCGAUGGCGAAGGCAUCUCGCCUGGAA